rnacentral:rRNA from 1 species
CUGGCGGCAGGCCUAACACAUGCAAGUCGAACGGCUCUUCGGAGCAGUGGCGGACGGGUGAGUAACGCGUGGGAACGUGCCCUUUGGUUCGGAACAACACAGGGAAACUUGUGCUAAUACCGGAUGAGCCCUUCGGGGGAAAGAUUUAUCGCCAUUGGAGCGGCCCGCGUUGGAUUAGGUAGUUGGUGGGGUAAAGGCCCACCAAGCCGACGAUCCAUAGCUGGUCUGAGAGGAUGAUCAGCCACACUGGGACUGAGACACGGCCCAGACUCCUACGGGAGGCAGCAGUGGGGAAUCUUGCGCAAUGGGCGAAAGCCUGACGCAGCCAUGCCGCGUGAAUGAUGAAGGUCUUAGGAUUGUAAAAUUCUUUCACCGGGGAAGAUAAUGACGGUACCCGGAGAAGAAGCCCCGGCUAACUUCGUGCCAGCAGCCGCGGUAAUACGAAGGGGGCUAGCGUUGCUCGGAAUUACUGGGCGUAAAGGGCGCGUAGGCGGACAGUUUAGUCAGAGGUAAAAGCCCAGGGCUCAACCUUGGAACUGCCUUUGAUACUGGCUGUCUUGAGUUCGGGAGAGGUGAGUGGAAUGCCGAGUGUAGAGGUGAAAUUCGUAGAUAUUCGGCGGAACACCAGUGGCGAAGGCGACUCACUGGCCCGAUACUGACGCUGAGGCGCGAAAGCGUGGGGAGCAA